rnacentral:lncRNA from 1 species
UCCAUUCUGACUAAAUUCGACGUUCUGGACGCAACCGAGCAGUCCAUGCUUCAAAAUUCUAUCUCUAACUCAAAUUUUGAGUUUUAAAUUACUCCCUUCUCAUUGCUAAUCGUAUUAUCUAACGACUUUAUACUUAUUCAAAUUCUUAUUUGCCAGUCAAGGCCAACACUCAAACUAUGUUAAUUACUAACAUAGUUUUAUCUUGAUCAUUAUAUCAUUAACUUAAUUCAUCAUUCCUCUUGCUAAAAUAUAUAUAGCACCUUACUAAGUAAAUAUAUUUCUAUACAUAUACUCAUCUUCGUUUAACCUCAUAGCAUCUCUUCAUGUGAAAUCUUAUCUCCAAUAAUAAAAUUUCCAUAUGUACUUAUAUAACAUUUUUUUUAGACUAUUCCGUUCACAUCGAAUUUAAAGGUAUCGUAAUACCUUAUUCUUAAUAUUCCUUCAAGUACAUAUUAAUUCAUUUCUAGGGUUUUGGAAUUUUGUAACCCAUAUUUUCUCUAUUCUCAUUCGAAUAGCAAACCAUAUAGGUUUUACUUGAAAAAUUUUAAAUAAAUCCUCAAAUUCUCAUCUAGGUUUUAUUCUUUAACCUUUAUUCUAAUCAUUCAAGAUUUUAGAAAUUUUCGGGUUAUCA